CAAAGUUUGGUUACAUUUUGGGAGGGAAAAGGGAAAAACUGGCAUGGCUGUUUGCACAGAUGUUUGGAUUUAGGUCUCCGUCUCUGCAUCACACCCUCUGCACUUCAGAAAGCACUUUAUUCGGUCUCUAAA